rnacentral:rRNA from 1 species
ACUUGCCUACGGGGCGCAGCAGUAGGGAAUAUUGCUCAAUGGGGUAAGCCCUGAAGCAGCAACGCCGCGUGGAGGAUGAAGGUUUUAGGAUUGUAAACUCCUUUUGUUAGAGAAGAUUAUGACGGUAUCUAACGAAUAAGCACCGGCUAACUCCGUGCCAGCAGCCGCGGUAAUACGGAGGGUGCAAGCGUUACUCGGAAUCACUGGGCGUAAAGAGUGCGUAGGCGGGGUAAUAAGUCAGAUGUGAAAUCCUGUAGCUUAACUACAGAACUGCAUUUGAAACUGUUACUCUGGAGUGUGGGGGG